CCUACGGGCGGCAGCAGUGGGGAAUAUUGGGCAAUGGAGGCAACUCUGACUCAGCCACGCCGCGUGAAUGAUGAAGGUCUUCGGAUUGUAAAGUUCUGUGAUGGGGGAUGAACACAAUGACGGUACCCCAAUAGCAAGCCACGGCUAACUACGUGCCAGCAGCCGCGGUAAUACGUAGGUGGCAAGCGUUAUCCGGAGUGACUGGGCGUAAAGGGUGCGUAGGUGGUUUAGUAAGUUGGCGGUGUAAUUCCGGGGCUCAACCUCGGCGCUACCGCCAAAACUAUUAGACUAGAGUGCAGGGGGGGUAAGUGGAAUUCGUAGUGUAGCGGUGGAAUGCGUAGAUAUUAGGAGGAACAUCAGGGGCGAAGGCGACUUACUGGACUGUAACUGACACUGAGGCACGAAAGCGUGGGGAGCAAACAGGAUUAGAUACCCUAGUAGUC
rnacentral:rRNA from 1 species